rnacentral:snRNA from 1 species
ACUAGGAUCUGCACCUAAAU